rnacentral:rRNA from 1 species
AAGCGAAGUGGCGACAUGGAGCAAAUCCCAAAAAUAACGUCCCAGUUCGGAUUGUAGUCUGCAACCCGACUACAUGAAGCCGGAAUCGCUAGUAAUCGCGGAUCAGAAUGCCGCGGUGAAUACGUUCCCGGGUCUUGUACACACCGCCCGUCACACCAUGGGAGUUGGAAAUGCCCGAAGUCAGUGGCCCAACCGGAAGGGGGGAGCUGCCGAAGGCAGGUUCGAUGACUGGGGUGAAGUCGUAACAAGGUACC